GACGGAAGGUGCAAGCGUUGCUCGGAAUCAUUGGGCGUAAAGGGUGCGUAGGCGGCUUGGUGGGUCUGGUGUGAAAGCCCCGGGCUUAGCCCGGGAAGGGCGCUAGAAACUGCCGAGCUCGAGUGCCGGAGGGGAGAGUGGAAUUCCUGGGUGUAGCGGUGAAAUGCGUAGAGAUCAGGAGGAAUACCGGUGGCGAAAGCGACUCUCUGGACGGCAACUGACGCUGAGGCACGAAAGCGUGGGGAGCAAACAGGG
rnacentral:rRNA from 1 species